rnacentral:rRNA from 1 species
GAUGAACGCUGGCGGCGUGCCUAAUACAUGCAAGUCGAACGCUGGAGAUCUAGCUUGCUAGAUCGAAGGAGUGGCGAACGGGUGAGUAAUACAUAAGCAACCUACCCACGAAGACUGGGAUAAUCUCUGGAAACGGGGACUAAUACCGGAUAGGUAAUCGGAAGGCAUCUUCUGGUUAUUAAAGGUUAAAAACACUGGUGGAUGGGCUUAUGGCGCAUUAGUUAGUUGGUGAGGUAACGGCCCACCAAGACGAUGAUGCGUAGCCGGCCUGAGAGGGUGAACGGCCACAUUGGGACUGAGACACGGCCCAGACUCCUACGGGAGGCAGCAGUAGGGAAUUUUCGGCAAUGGGGGCAACCCUGACCGAGCAACGCCGCGUGAGUGAAGACGGCCUUCGGGUUGUAAAGCUCUGUUGUAAGGGAAGAACGGUAGAUAGAGAAUAUCUAAGGACGUACCUACCAGAAGCCAC